rnacentral:rRNA from 1 species
UACGGAGGAUGCAAGCGUUAUCCGGAAUGAUUGGGCGUAAAGCGUCCGCAGGUGGCUAUGUAAGUCUGCUGUUAAAGAGUGAGGCUCAACCUCAUAAGAGCAGUGGAAACUACAUGGCUAGAGUGCGUUCGGGGCAGAGGGAAUUCCUGGUGUAGCGGUGAAAUGCGUAGAUAUCAGGAAGAACACCGGUGGCGAAGGCGCUCUGCUGGACCAUAACUGACACUCAGGGACGAAAGCUAGGGGAGCGAAUGGG